UUGCCCUAGUAACGGCGAGUGAAGCGGCAACAGCUCAAAUUUGAAAUAUGGCUUCCUUUGGGGGUCCGAGUUGUAAUUUGCAGAGGGUGCUUUGGCGUCGGCAGCGGUCUAAGUUCCUUGGAACAGGACAUCACAGAGGGUGAGAAUCCCGUACGUGGUCGCCUGCCUUCGCCGUGUAAAGCCCCUUCGACGAGUCGAGUUGUUUGGGAAUGCAGCUCUAAAUGGGAGGUAAAUUUCUUCUAAAGCUAAAUACCGGCCAGAGACCGAUAGCGCACAAGUAGAGUGAUCGAAAGAUGAAAAGCACUUUGGAAAGAGAGUCAAACAGCACGUGAAAUUGUUGAAAGGGAAGCGCUUGCAGCCAGACUUGCUCGCAGUUGCUCAUCCGGGUCCGCCCGGAGCACUCUUCUGCGAGCAGGCCAGCAUCAGUUUGGGCGACCGGAUAAAGGCCUCUGUCAUGUAUCUUCCUUCGGGAUGACCUUAUAGGGGAGGCGUAAUGCGGCCAGCCCGGACUGAGGUCCGCGCAUCUGCUAGGAUGCUGGCGUAAUGGCUGUAAGCGGCCCGUCUUGAAACACGGAUCAAGGAGUCUAACAUCUAUGCGAGUGUUUGGGUGUCAAGCCCGGGCGCCAAUGAAAGUGAACGGAGGUGGGAACCCUAUUCGGGGGGUGCACCAUCGACCGAUCCUGAUGUCUUCGGAUGGAUUUGAGUAAGAGCAUAGCUGUUGGGACCCGAAAGAUGGUGAACUAUGCUUGAAUAGGGUGAAGCCAGAGGAAACUCUGGUGGAGGCUCGCAGCGGUUCUGACGUGCAAAUCGAUCGUCAAAUUUGGGCAUAGGGGCGAAAGACUAAUCGAACUAUC
rnacentral:rRNA from 1 species